GGCGAUUUUGGGGCUUUUGGGUGGAUUUUUGGUGUUUUUGGUGGGAUUUUUUUGGGGUUUUUUUUUGCUGUUGGGAUUUUUUUGGCUGUUUUCACCCCAAAACUGUGUCUGACCCCGAUUUCAGAGGCGGGGACCCCCGGGGAGGGGCGUUACUCCCACGUUUCGGGGGUCCUGGCCGGGCAGGUGCUGCUGGUGGCCGGCGGCUUCUCGGGGGUCCCGCGGGGCGACCUCCGAGCCUACAAAGUUCCUUCCUUCGUCCUGCAGCAGAGCGAGGAGCCGGAUCCCAACUGUGGAAGCUCAGGGACCCCCCCGGAGCAGUGCCCCCCCGGCCCCUGCCCGGGGCUCUCCCGCCUUUUGGGGGAUUUGAUGGAAUUUUGGGGGAUUUUAAUGGAAUUUUUGGGGGAAUUUUGGGUGGAUUGUGAUGAUAUUUUGGGAGGUAUUUUAAUGGAAUUUUGGGGUGACUUUGGGGUGAAUUUUGGGGUAAAACCCCCCAGUUUCUCCCCAGUGCCCCCCCGGACCCUGCCCGGGGCUGUCCCGCCUUUGGGGGAUUUGGGGCAUUUUGAUGGAAUUUUUGGGGGAUUUUUGAUGGAAUUUUGGGGUGGAUUUUGA
rnacentral:lncRNA from 1 species